AUGGCUGUUAGAAACGGACAGCAGCCGGGCACACUUCUUUUGGACAGUCCGCUGCAGUUCUGGCCUCUGGCACCCCGCUUCCUGCUCCUCUUCCACAUCUCUCUUCUGCACGGCCACGUUGGGUCUUCCUUCCAGCCAGCUUGGGACUGCGAGGACCGGGCAGGCGGCAGAUGGGGCAGGAUGCCUGCUGACCUUUCAAAAUCUACACACAUCACAAUGCACGACGUGUUUGAAAGCCUUCGGGCUUUCCUCUGAAGCCGGAGGGAGAUCCAGGGUCCCACAUCACGUGGAAGCGCACUCCAGCCAACUCGGCCCUCUGUUCCCCUGGGCACCGGGCUCUUUCUCGCCGGGGCCUCUGCAUUUGCUGUGGCCUCUGCCUGGUGGCUUCUGUCCCUCUUUUCUUUAACGUUACAAACCAGUUUUCAUAUUUUCAAGUCAAGCGUCAUCUACCAUUUUUGGCACUGAAGGCUGCAUCCUUCCCCUCAAGUCUUGGUUCACAUACAUACAGAAAGCUCAUCGGAUUUCAAUUCUUCGGACCACAGAAAAUAAUUUGCCUUCUCAUCUAUGGGAACCAGUCUUUUACUGCUUCUGAAAUGGCACAUACAGUUCAGUUGUGAAACAAGGCUAUCUGAAGCAUCAGCAACUUUUCAUAUGCAGCUUCAGCCUGCAAAGAGAACAAACAAGAGGAAAUGGCUUAUCACUUACAACUAAAUACACAGGAAAAACAAUGCAAAGCAAUGCUCUGUGGGUCAUGUUAAAAAAAGGAUGAAGAAGAAGAGAGAGAAUAUGGGAAUGCACACAAGUUCUAAUGAAAAGAAAAGCAGACCUACGGCAGGACUACAUUUCCACAUAUGCAUGUACAUAAUGGAUUCUCAGUCACUGCUGAUACAUAAAUGCAAUUAUACCGAUAUCAUUAAGUUUCA